CGCCUCCCGGCGGGCUUUGCGCGCGGUGCCGCCCCUGCCGCCCUCCGGGCCGGGCGGGGAAGAUGGCGGCGGGGCCGGGGAAGCACAAGCUGCUGAGCGCCGGCCCCACCGAGCCCUGGUCCAUCCGCGAGAAGCUCUGCCUGGCCUCCUCCGUCAUGCGCAGCGGCGACCAGAACUGGGUCUCAGUCAGCAGAGCCAUCAAACCUUUUGCAGAGCCAGGACGCCCACCUGACUGGUUUUCCCAAAAGCACUGUGCAUCUCAGUACUCAGAGCUCUUGGAGACCACGGAGACCCCGAAAAGAAAACGUGGUGAGAAGGGAGAAGUUGUGGAGACAGUGGAAGAUGUUAUUGUGCGGAAACUGACUGCAGAGCGGGUUGAGGAGUUGAAGAAAAUUAUUAAAGAGACACAGGAAAAAUACAGGCAACUCAAGAAGGAUGCAGAGCUGAUCCAGGCUGGACACAUGGAUAACAGACUGGAGGAGCUGUGCAAUGAGAUCAUGAUAAAGAAAAAAAUGGAAGAGGAGGAGGCAGAAGUGAAGAGGAAGGCUACAGAUGCUGCUUAUCAGGCUCGCCAGGCCAUUAAGAACCCACCUCGAAGGCUCACGGGGGUGAUGGUUCGUUCUCCUGCAGGCUCCACCUCCCCGGGCGGGGAUUAUUCCCUCGGAGACCUGGCCCAGCCCGCUGGGGACGAGCCCAGUCCAGGGGUCACGCCAGGGACAUUGCCCAGCACCCCAGUUGCCUCCUUCAUUGGAAUCCCUGACACCCCUCCAGGCUCUGCUCCCCUGGAUGCCCCCAUGACCCCAGUCACUGAUGAUUCACCCCAGAAAAAGAUGCUAGGACAAAAAGCAACUCCGCCUCCUUCCCCUCUGCUCUCAGAGCUGCUGAAGAAGGGCAGUCUCCUGCCCACAAGCCCCAGGCUGGUCGGUGAAAACGAAAUGGCAGUGGCUUCUGGUCACAUGAACAGCUCUGGAGUGCUGCUGGAGGUAGGAAGUGUCCUUCCAGUGCUGCACAGUGGGGAAAUGCAGUCAGCACCUGGUGCUGUCCCUGCAUCUCCAGCAGCUUCAGGUGCUCCUACGCUUUCCCGGCUUUUAGAAGCUGGUCCUGCACAGUUCACCUCACCUCUUGCUUCCUUCUCCGCUGUUGCCAGCGAGCCUCCAGCUAAGCUCCUGCCACCCCCCGUAGAGCCUGUGUCCCAGGCCACUAUUGUCAUGAUGCCCACGCUGUCAGCACCAGCCGUUGUGCCUCCAGCUGCAGCUGCAGAAAGCGUAGCCACAGUGAGCCAGCCAGAAGCCUGUGUUUCCAUGGAGGCAGUGUCUGAUUCCCAUACUGUGACAGUGUCCAUGGACAGCAGUGAAAUAUCAAUGAUCAUUGAUUCCAUCAAGAAAGAGUGCCUGGGUUCUGGGGCUGGCAGCACUGCAGGUUCUUCCAAAGAUCACUGCAUGGAUGGGAAAGAAGAUCUGGAUUUGGCUGAAAAAAUGGAUAUUGCAGUGUCCUAUACGGGGGAAGAGCUGGACUUUGAUACGGUUGGAAAUAUUAUAGCCAUCAUUGAGGACAAGGUAGAUGACCACCCUGAAGUCCUGGAUGCAGCAGUUGUUGAAGCUGCUCUGUCUUCUUUCUGCGAAGAUACUGAUGACCCUCAGACCCUUCCUGGCCCGUGGGAACAUUCAAUUCGUCAGGAGCAUGAGAAACAGGCCCAGAUGCCACAAGUGUCUGUGACUGUGAAGCAGGAGAGACUGGAGUGUGAGGAGCCAGAGGCAAAGGGAAUUCGAGACCUGAUGGGCAUCAGUGAGCUGGGGUCAGAAAUAAAGACAGAACUUGCAGAGCAGGACCAGAGUCAGCUGGGCCCUGAAGAAACCAUACCAGCAACUGCAAGAGUGACAGAAACUCCAGAGCUUAGAAACCAGGAGAUAGAAGAAGAUCAAAGAGCAGCUGUAACAUCAGGAGAGACUUCUGAAAUCAAAAUAGAGUCAUCCCAGGGAGAAGAUGCAGUGCUCAAUCCAGUGAAGACAGAGACCCCACCUGAUGAUGAUUCAUCCCCUCCACAAGUCCCAAAUGUGAGUGAAGACUCCUCACAGGCUGAUGUUCAGCACAAAUUUGAGCUGUCAGAAUCAAUGAAGGAGGAGGCCCAAGCCCUGUUUAGGAGUCAGAUGAAGGAUGGACAGGGUGAGGAGGAUGAUGAGGACGGUGCCAGUGAGGCUGCCAGUUUGGAGGAACCCAAAGAAGAAGACCAGGGGGAGGGCUAUCUCUCAGAGAUGGAUAACGAGCCCCCCGUGAGCGAGAGCGACGACGGCUUCAGCGUCCACAACGCGCCCUUGCAGUCGCACGCGCUCGCCGACUCCAUCCCCAGCAGCCCGGCCUCCUCGCAGUUCUCAGUGUGCAGUGAGGACCAGGAAGCAAUACAGGCUCAGAAGAUCUGGAAGAAAGCCAUCAUGCUGGUUUGGAGAGCAGCAGCUAAUCACAGGUAUGCCAAUGUCUUCUUACAGCCUGUAACCGAUGACAUAGCACCAGGCUACCACAGCAUCGUGCAGAGGCCAAUGGAUUUAUCUACCAUCAAAAAGAACAUUGAGAACGGGCUGAUCCGAACCACAGCCGAGUUCCAGCGCGAUAUUAUGCUGAUGUUUCAGAAUGCAGUGAUGUACAACAGCUCUGACCAUGAUGUGUACCACAUGGCUGUGGAGAUGCAGAGAGAUGUCCUGGAGCAGAUCCAGCAAUUUCUGGCCACACAACUGAUGAUGCAAACGUCAGAGUCAGGGAUCAGUGCAAAGAGCCUGCGGGGGCGAGACUCCACUCGCAAGCAGGAUGCUUCGGAGAAGGACAGUGUCCCAAUGGGCUCUCCUGCCUUCCUUCUCUCUCUCUUUACAGAGGAGUACUCCAGGAGAGGCAGCAGAUCAGCCAGAGAGAGGAUCAGAGGAAGCUCUCAGCUCACCUUCUGCUCGUGGAAAGGAGCUGUGUGGAGGAACUAGGGAGCUAGUGCCAGGGUCACUCAGCUGGAGGAGCACUUCCCAUAGGGAUCAGCUGAUAAGGACGGAGGCACCAGAGGGCGGCGCUGCGCCAUCGAGGCAGACAUGAAGAUGAAGAAAUGAUGCUGCAGACACAAAAUCCCAGCAGAAUCCCAGGCAUCCGGAGCUGGAGUGUGAGCAGACAGCUCUUAACAGCUGUUGGAGGAGGAAGAAAAGCUGCAGGUCCAUUUCUGGGACCUGGUUCACCACCUUCGCUUGCCCUUCUGGAAAGCAGUGUCUUGUCAGAAUGUGUAACCCAAAGAAACUCCCCUAGAGGGGAAGAGCAGCCCCCCUGCCUGUUUUAGGGCAGUUGUCUUGGGCUUCAUCAGUGUUCUGGUGUUAGCUAGCAGCUGGUGGCUCGUACGUACUGUAAUGUGAAGUGUACAGAUUUUUACUAGUGCUGUGUAAAUGUGAUGUAUAUUAAAAUCUGGGAACAAA